AGAUCCAGUUGCUGGCGCGCUGCCUGAAACUUAGGGGUCGAUCGACUGGCCGAAACAUAGAAUGGCCGUGAAUGGUGACUUAAUGCGAACGGUAGUUGAACCUGCUAUAAAAAGACGUGUUUUGGUUAAACAGAUUGAAUUGAAAUAAGUGUAAAGAUUCAAUGCAAUUAAAGAUAAUAAUAUCUUUAAGAAGAACGAAAUUUAUGAACAAAUUUUAUAAGAAUCAAAGGAAACUAUAAUUCUGCCUGCAACAAGUAUAAACCAGUCAAGAUUUAUAUCCGAAAAAACUAGAUCGAUUUGUUGAUCUAUAAAAAUUCAAUUCCAACGUAGAGAAAAACGAUUCAAUGGAAACUUUGUUCCACGAUCGAGUGACGUAAAUGGAAUGCGCGAAAAAAUUUAAUUUAUCGAAGGCAUUGUUUUCCAUUACGUAAAAAGAAGGAACGGCAAUAUAUCGUCGAAAAGAGUUCUUCAGGACACGGAGCAAGUUUUACAGAUCACAUCAUUUAAAAGGAGACAUUGUUUCACGAGCUAAAAAGCUGAAAGUGACCAGUCACCAAGAAAGUUGCUAGUCGAUAAGAAUUAGUAAUGCGAACUGGCUAAAUAUGACUAGAUACUUCUUAUUGUUAUAGUCAAGUAGAUAAGAACAAAGGGCCGGCAUUGCGAAAGGAAAAGGAGGAACGUUAAUGGCCUUUCCAACGAGGAGAACUUGACAAAUAGUGGUCGACGGCGAUGAAAGAGCGGCUGCGUUUCGUUACACGGCCGCGUAACGAGUUCGGUCUUUCAGAGCGGGAAAAGGGUCGACCAUAAAGAACCGAGGCGAUGCGGAGGACAGCCUGGAUCGGGAGCUUUUGUGACUACCUACUGCCUACGCGAGCCUAAGAUAUAUCACGUGUCUGGAACAGUCGAGGGAAACGAGCGAGGGAAAAUUUGAAAAACGCAAUGUCCGAGGCCAGGAUAUAAAUUAACAUACACCAAUGUGCCAGUUAACUUACAUGUAGUCUGAAUCUAGUAGAGUACUAGAACGCUGUGGAUGACAGGCUGAAUAAAGAGUACUAGAAGUAUUGAUAUGUAAUAUGGAAAUGAAAUUGAAUGAAAUGGGAAUAGAAAUAAAUUUCUUAGUUAACGAUGCGUAU